rnacentral:misc_RNA from 1 species
GGAAAUUGCACUCUCAGUAACCCUAGAAGCUCCCGAGAACUCCCUUCUUUACUCUCUCACUCCACCAAAUAUCUUCCAUAUAUGUACAUAAACACACAGAAUAUGCAUAUUUAAUAUCUCUUUAUCUCUAUUCACAAGCAUAGGAUAUGGAGAUCACAGUCAUAUCAGCCCAGGGCCUCAAGAGCACAUCUUCAGGUCCUUUCUCCCACCGUCUCCGACCCUUCAUCACUAUCACCAGUUACCCAUCAAUUAACUCAUCAGGCAGCGAUGAUAAGAAGUGCAGAGUGUACAGUACAAGGAUUGAUGAUCAAGGAGG